UACGUAGGGUGCGAGCGUUGUCCGGAAUUACUGGGCGUAAAGAGCUCGUAGGUGGUUUGUCGCGUUGUUCGUGAAAACUCACGGCUUAACUGUGAGCGUGCGGGCGAUACGGGCAGACUAGAGUACUGCAGGGGAGACUGGAAUUCCUGGUGUAGCGGUGGAAUGCGCAGAUAUCAGGAGGAACACCGGUGGCGAAGGCGGGUCUCUGGACAGUUCCUGACGCUGAGGCACGAAGGUCAGGGGAGCAAACGGG
rnacentral:rRNA from 1 species